UAUUGUGUAACUCGUGACAGACAGGCAGAAGAAUCUGUCUUCAGCUCUCCGUGCUGCCUCAGGGUCUCUAACAUCUCAGAUCGAGAAACUAUAGUCAGGUUUUAUGGUCGAGGAAACUUUAACAGAGACUUUGUAAACUUUUCGACUGCAGGAAGGAAGUCUUAACGCAACCCAGAAAAACACCCCAACUCAGAAUGUCCACGUGUGGCUCGUGUUUCUGGGCCAUCGUCUGGCUGGUGGUUCUGCUGGUUCUGGGCUGGCCUCUGAGUAUCGUCCUGGGAGGGCUUUACGGUCUCAUCGCCCCUCUCACCGUCUGUGUCGGUCUGGACCGGCUUGCUGACCUUAUGAUGGAGGGGGCGAACCUGGGCCGAAGAUGUGCCCAGAACAUGAGGCACGGCAAACCACUGUGCUGACACCUCGACCCUUGAGCUCACCUUGAAAACAUCACAUGCCUUUUCAUCAAAGUCUUUUGGUUCAAGUUUAACACUUGUUUUUUUUUAACUACAGUAAUAUUGAAGGUGCUUUUCUUGUGUUCCUUUUGUUAACAUGCAAUUUAUUGAGCAUUUAACCCUGUAAGACUCGACAUUAGUCAUCUUUAAAGUCUUUAAAUGUUGUCCUUUGCUCUCUGUGCAAGCCUGUUUUUGGCAAAAAACAUUUUUUUAAAGAAAUUGAAUUUGAAGUUGAAGUUGUUUGUGUUGCUGUGACUAUCAGCAUUACGUCUGAUCUACUUUGUAAGUGGCUAUUUAGGUUUUUUUAGGAGCAGGUAAACCUGAUACCAAUGAUCCCACAAAAAAUAAACUACCACUGAAUGAUGCAUGUAACCUUGGAAGCAGCAGUUUUCUACAUGUCAUACUUCAGUUAACAUAGAUGUUGUUGGGAAACGUACAAUUAUUAAAGUAACAUAUUUGUUCAGUAUGUGGCGAUGACAGCACAAUGAAGUCAAUUGGGGCUUUGCAAAGACGUUAUAUUUAUACCAGCAUUUAAAGCAUGAACAGCUACAUUUAGUCUCUUUUUAUGCUCCGUAGAGGUGUGAUAAAUGCAUUUACACAUGAAUAACAUCUGCAAAGAAAAAAUACAAAAUAGUUUGAACAGCUGUAAAUACAGAAACAUAAAAUUGUAAUAAAAAUAAUUAUGAAAUUAUAAAAUUUUAAUGCCAAAAUCGAAAAUUAUACAUUUCAAAUGACAAUUGUUGGAUAUAAUUCUAAAUAAAAAUAAAUUCUGUAAUUUGCUUGUGAUGUCACCCCCGUGACCCCCAGGAUAAGGGCUUUGAGUUCCUUUUUUACGCAUACAGUGCGCGUUACGCAAAUUUCAUCAUCAGAAUAAUACGCACGUACUGUACGGGCCUUGCCAGAAUUUUGUUCCCUCCUGUUAAAAGUAUGCACAGGUUGCGCAUGUGUACAUGCAUGAGUCAAAAGCUGUAUACUUUACAAAGAAGAGCGCGUUCGGCUGUAAGGAAAAAGAAGUAUACCACAGGCUUAAGUGUUCCUCAACUGAGUGUACAUCUAAGAAGCACAAGGUGCUUGAAAAUGACAAUGUGUAUGUGAAAUGCUGCUGAAAAGGUCAAACGUUCAGGCUUCAUUUCUCUACAAACAUCAUCAUCUUUAACAAGGUGCAGGACAUCAGAGGAAAUAUUAGUUCUCACCAGAUUCUGCUGCGUUGGGAUGAAGGGGGAAACAGGAGACUGACACUGGUGUCAUGUUAGCAGGACAUCCGGGAGGAACUGCAAAGCCAAGCAUUGUGAAUCUACACUGCUGUUUCACUGAUCCAGCAGUGUCACUCAUUACUGCCCUCUGGAGGCUAAAGGUGACAUCUGUCUGUCCAUCCAUGCAAACUAUGUGGACACCCUGUUCAAAUAAACAGUUUCGGCAGUUUAACUCUUUUGGCUUUGAUAUGACAGUGACCCUCCGCAUAUUAAGGACCAUAAAGAACCCGAGGGGAACCAUCACCGGCCAAAAUUGUCUGGUUUUCAUUUUCAACUUUGUGCUGGCAGCCGUGCACAAGCCCUCCUCACAGCGUGUGGUGUAGGAAGCACAUUUGACAGUUGGACUGUAAAUAUUUAAUUCAAGCGUGAGAUGAAGAAUGGAAAAGGGCCUCCCUGUGCUUCUGCCAUAUGGAAAGAUCAUGAAACAUCUGAUCAGCUUCACAUUGCUGCUCUCACUUAGCUCUGACACAUGGAGAAGAUACCAGGCCUGAUCGUGUCUCAGUACUGAACGCGUGUGUUUGUGCAUACAUGAAUUGAUAUUCAUCUUAAUUUCUCUAUGCAGAAAUUAAUAGUGUGAGCUGAAUGGAUGUCACCAAAUUUCACUUCGCACAAAAAGUAAUUGAGUUAGUAACUGAGUUAUAUCAUUAUAAAAGUAACUAGUUACCAGGGAAUGUAACUAUAACAUUACCUUGUAUGUUCAAAUAUUUCAAAUAACUUGGAUGCCCCAAUUUUAAAUAUGUUCAAUGAAUGAAGCAGAAACUAAAUCGAAUAAAUAAUUUGUAUAAAACAUUGUACACUUAUCUACAUUAUUUUAAUGUAGCUGUAAUGAAGCCUUUUUACUUUCAAGUGCAAUUUUAAUUAUCUGUACUUUAUCAGUGUUUUU